UUCUGAUAUUAAUGCCCGCUAUGGGAACACAGGAUGGCCGGGCAGUGAUAGUUGUACAUUUCCAUCACUCGUUGUGUUGAUUUCAUCAUGUCCAUUAGGUGAUGUUUUUACACUAUAGAAUCAUAUUGCAAGUGCGCGCGCAUUUGCAAUAUGUUUCAAUGUGCAUUUACCAUAUGAAAUUUGACAUGCUCAAAAAUGCAAAAUUGACUGGUCUGAUGGACACAGGAUGGCCGAGCAGUGAUAGUUGUACAUUUCCAUCACUCGUUGUGUUGAUUUCAUCAUGUCCAUUAGGUGAUGUUUUUUCACUAUAGAAUCAUAUUGCAAGUGCACGCGCAUUUGCAAUAUGUUUCAAUGUGCAUUUACCAUAUGAAAUUUGACAUGCUCAAAAAUGCAAAAUUGACUGGUCUGAUGAACACAGGAUGGCUGAGCAGUGAUAGUUGUACAUUUCCAUCACCUGUUGUGUUGAUUUCAUCAUGUCCAUUUGUUUAUGUUUUCUCACUUUUGCAAAGUCACUGUGCAUUUGCAAUAUGGUUCAAUGGGCAGGUACCAUCACGAAUUUGUCAUGCUAUAAAAAUCCUGCAGGAAUGUGAAAUUGACUGGUCUGAUGAACACAGGAUGGCCGAGCAGUGAUAGUUGUACAUUUCCAUCACUUGUUGUGUUGAUUUCAUCAUGUCCAUUAGGUGAUGUUUUUUCACUAUAGAAUCAUAUUGCAAAUGCACGUGCAUUGUUGUGCAACUGGUAACCCAAAAAUUAAAAUAUGGUUGUAAAUGCAUUUACCGGGACUCCUAUUAUCCAUGCCCGCUAUGGGAGUACCCUACUACGGCCCUCUAUCUAUGGGGGCAGUCCUGAGUGCUUUAUGGACUGUUUAAAAUAUUCUGAUGGAUACGCAUGUUGUGCAACUGGUGAUUGAAAAUAGGCACCUGGUAACCCAAAAAUGAAAAUAUGGUUGUGAAUGCAUUUACCGGUCAUUCUGAUAUUAAUGCCCGCUAUGGGAACACAGGAUGGCCGAGCAGUGAUAGUUGUACAUUUCCAUCACUCGUUGUGUUGAUUUCAUCAUGUCCAUUAGGUGAUGUUUUUACACUAUAGAAUCAUAUUGCAAGUGCGCGCGCAUUUGCAAUAUGUUUCAAUGUGCAUUUACCAUAUGAAAUUUGAAAUGCUCAAAAAUGCAAAAUUGACUGGUCUGAUGGACACAGGAUGGCCGAGCAGUGAUAGUUGUACAUUUCCAUCACUCGUUGUGUUGAUUUCAUCAUGUCCAUUAGGUGAUGUUUUUUCACUAUAGAAUCAUAUUGCAAAUGCACGUGCAUUGUUGUGCAACUGGUAACCCAAAAAUAAAAAUAUGGUUGUAAAUGCA